rnacentral:lncRNA from 1 species
CAUGGGGGUUGGUUCACCAGCUUAAGAAAUAUUUGUUUAAAUAGAAGAGAAAGGUUGAGGGGGUACGUAUAUCAGAAAGUGUUGGGUGGGAAGCUAGGGGUGUUAGUUGGAAUAGAACGGUGGCCGUUGGAUCUUCAUGGAUAUCCUACGGAUGUGAUGAUGACACGUGGACGUGGCAAUGAGAGAUGCAUGAUGGGUGUUUUAACCCGUCGAUGUUGGAGGAGGAUGGAGGUUGUUGGGGUGUCUGGUGCACGCUCACAGGCUGGUUAAUGUCUGUCUAUCUAUGUCGUUUCAUCAUUUUCUGGGGCCAGAAUUUUGUGGAAAAUUACUUUAUACUCCCGGAAUAGCCCUGUAAUAACUUUAUGGCCCACAGAUUUUAAUUUUUCUGACAUUUUGUUAAUUUAAUAAAUUUUGCUGACAUUUAUUCAAUUUUAAUAAAAUUCUGUUAUGGAAAUUUUCAGUGGAGCACAAGUUGUCUCGUUAAAAUGCUAAACAAGUCCAAAUAAUUGUGUUCUUCCAAUGGAAUCUAGCCUAUUAUUUCAGAUUGAGUCAUUACAUAUGAUAAGUGCAUAUUUUCUCUAUAUUUUACUAUUAAUUUCUCUAAUUUUUUCUUGUUUUGGUCUUAAAUCUCUAAUUAUUUUAGUUAAUUUUUAAUUUAGUUAUUCUAUUAAAUUAUAUGUUAUUAUGUUAAUUUUUGUCUUAAAUUUUUUAUUAUUAUUGUAGAUUUUAUUCUUAAUUUAUAGUUGCUGGUUAAUUAUAUUAUUUUAUUUGAUAGGAAAUUAAUUGGAGGUUAUGAAUAAAAAGGGCAUAAAGAAGUUUAAUUUGAGAAGCAAUAAAGAUUAAAUUGGAAACCAAUUGAAAGGUAAGGGGAAUAAAGUCAAGAAGCCGUGGCAAACCAGCAUUCGGUGGACAUGCAUUAGCAAAUAAAGAAUUGGAAUUGGCAAUUGCACAUCCAUGACUUUAUAUGAUAUGAAAGGAAAAUUGAAGAAUAAUGAAAUCGCCAUAUUUAACCAAGCAUGCAUGUGAGGAACAAUGGCAAUUAAAUGGCUUUGAUUUGAAAUCAAAGUGGAUGGCAUGUGGAAGGCAUUAAUUUUCUUGUUGAUCAUGGAUUUGGAGGAGGAAAAUGGUACCAAAUAUGUCCUCCACCAAGAGUUAUAGAAGCCAACCUCUGGUUUCUGAAGAAACACACAACUGGCAGCCAAUAGGAGAAUUGGAGAUUACAACCACAUGAAGAGAAGAAAAAAUAAAAAUAGAGUUAAUCUUUUAAAUUAAUCUCCAUGAUUAGUUUUAUCAACUCUUUUAUUUCUAAUUCAAUUGUAUUAGGUUAGAUUUUCUAUUUGGUUGAGGGUUAAUUCAAAUCCCUAAACAUGUUAUAUAAUUAAUAUUCAAUUUCUAUUAUUCAAUUUAUUUAAUUGAGAUUAUUUAUGUUCUUCUAUCAUUAAUGUUUAUGAUUUUACUCUUAUUUUAUUUGAGUGAGCAAUUAGAUAGGACUUGAAUAAAUUCUGUUGUAAGGUUAAAAUUCUAAAUCAACCUCAUAUCUUUCUCUACUUAAUGCUCCCAUUAUCUUAAAUUUAAAGAGUUCGUUUUAAAUUAUUUAAUGUUUAGAGACUAGGUGAAGAGCUUGUUUUGUUUAAUGACACAGUAAGAAAAGAUUAAGACUAAUAGAGCUUAUUGUUGUCUACGGUUGAUAGUUUCAAUAGAAAUUGACGAUAGAUGUGCAUGUUUGGUGGUGGUAAAUGAUUCUCUAACUAAAAUUUUCAUCAUUAUUAUUUCUUUCUCCUUUAAUCAAAUUUUUUUUUAAAUUAUGGUUUUCGUAGUUCUAAUUUAUUUAUUUCUUACUAUUUAGUUAAAAAUUCAUAAACCCCCUUUUUAUUUUUAGUUGGUAUUUUCUUUAGUUAGAUUAAUUUAUAUUAUUACUAUUAUUUUAUUUUAAGUAUUGCUUUAGAGUUGGUAAUAAAUAUAACUAGCAUAGUUUUUGUAGAAUCAGUCCUUACUCACUAUGUAUUAAUUGUUUAUAUUAUUAGUAAUGUUUUAAAUUUGGUGUACCCUAACGACACUACCAAUAUAUAUGUUUAAAUUUUAGAUCCUUGUUAAUUCUUAUGUUUUGAUUUUUUUUUUAAUCUUGAAGAUACCAUUUAAUGGUGUUUUUUUAAUUAAAAUAUGGCUAUUAGUUUAAAAAAAUGAUUAACUAAUUGAAAAUAAUCUAAGCUUCUUGAUAGACUUAAAAUUUGGGUUUUUGCUAAUGAGGGUUCCUUCUUUUACAAUUUUUUAAGAUAUCUCAAGUAUUGACAUGUAUUUUCAUUUAUAUUUAAAAGGUAUCCCUAAUUCCUAAUGAAAUGAUAAAAAUGGCCAAUUAAAGUUAUUUUACAUAGCUUAAUAUAUACCAUGGUCACAAACCCAUCCAUAUUAAUAUAAUUUUUAAAACAAUAAUAAUACAACUAUAAUUUUUUUUGUACAUAUUGAUAUGGCGUAAAAUAAUGAUUGAAUGAAAUAUCACUUAGCCAUAUAAUUUAUUUAUAUCAUUUUAUAUCUUACUUCAACUAAGCAUGUUAUAUCAUAUCAAUUUAUACAAAAAAAAAUUAUAUAGUAGUUUGUAGUUAUAAUAUUACAUUUAAAAAAAUAUAUUUUAUUUAAAAAUUAUUUUACUUAUUCUUAUAAGGAUAUACUAAGGGCCUGUUUAAUAUUAAAAGAUGAAUUACUAUCUCUCGUAAAAAAAANNNNNNNNNNNNNNNNNNNNNNNNNNNNNNNNNNNNNNNNNNNNNNNNNNNNNNNNNNNNNNNNNNNNNNNNNNNNNNNNNNNNNNNNNNNNNNNNNNNNGCUCACCGUCUCACUCCCUCCCCCUCCUUGCUCCCUCUUCUCAGUUCUCACUUUCUGAGUUUCGUGGCUGACGACGACAGCAGCAGCCAGCAGCCCCGUUCAGCUCUAACAGAAACUCUCGGUCUCACCGUCUCACUCCCUCCCCCUCCUUGCUCCCUCUUCUCAGUUCUCACUUUCUGAGUUUUGUGGCCCACGACGACAGUAGCAGCCAGCAGCCCCAUCCAGCUCCAACAGACACCAGCCGUUCACCGCAGCCCACUCGCCGUCAGCCAACACGCCUUGCUCGCAACUGUGCUUCACCGCAACCCACUCGCGUCCCACUCAGCCCAGCAUAGUCUCGAUCUGCCGACGCUGUAGCUGCUCCAACCUCCAAGAUCAAGGUUUGUCUUGCCUUGCCGACAUUGUAAGCUUGUAACUUGCUGACUUGCUCGCAGUUGAUGGCAACAAGCUGAAUCGAAUUUUAAGUUUUUAACAACCUGUUGCUAUUAAUUAAAUUGUAUAUUUUUAAUUAAUUGAUUGUUAUAAGCUAUUGUGAUUAGUUAAAUUAGUAGUUAAUUAGCUAUAGUUGGUUACAACAAUUGAUUUGAGCUUCAGCUUUGUAUAUAAAGGAACCUCUUGUACAUAUCAUUUGGUUGUUGAUGAAUAAAAUGAUGUUCUAGAGAAUUCUCAGAUCCAGUUCUUAUUUUCCUUCAAUUUUCUCACUGCUUUCUUAGCUACGAAACAAUAUUUUCAUUCUUCAACUCUCACAAACCCGAUCGACUUAAUUAACUAUGCCUUCUUUACCAGCUCCUUGGGCUGUACUUGCCAAGCUUAUAUUACUAAUUCUGCCUUCCAUUUCUAUUUGGAUUUUGGCCUUCCUUUUCUAGACAUCGAUUUUAUUUGGCCUUUCAUGACAAUUAUUCAAUUAUUUGAAGUGGGUUUGUUGUUGUUGAUUGAUAAUUGAACAAAUGGAGAUUGUUAAUUAAACAAAUGGAGAUUGUUAUUAAUUAAAUUGGAGUGGGUUUGUUGCUGUUAUUAUUAAUUAAAUUGGAGAUUGUUAAUUAAUUGAUUGAUUAAUUGAUUAAUUUUUGCUGUUUUUUUAAUUUAGAAAAUGGCAAUAUGCUGAAUUGUUGAUUCGUAGUUAUUAUUAGUGGUUGUUGUUAGAAUUUUUAGAUUAAAUUGUUCCAACCCAUUCUAAUCCGAACUAACCCGAAUUAACCCGAACUGAAAUUUUAACUCGAAUUAUCAACUCAAUCCGAUCCGAAUUGCCAACCCAAACCGAACCAAACCGAAUUAAAUUCAGUUCGGUUUGGUUCGGGUUGGCGUUUUCAACCCGAUUAGGUUCAAUUCUCCAACCCGAACGGGUUGAAACCCAAACCGAAACUCGAACAACCCGAACCGAAACCCGAUUUGCCCACCCCUAGUUGUAAGAUCUGAAUCUUUGCAUUCGGGUCGACCUGAUCCACCCAUUAACCCGUCAAAUCUCAACCGUUCUUUGACCAAAUCAGACGCUUUACAAGAUGCCACAUGUAAUGUUGACUUUUGAUGUUUGACCAGCUGUAGGAUCUUGAUGUAGUGGUUGUGAGGAGCGCAUGCAUGAAGCUUAUGAUGGACCACAAAACACUGGAUUACGAAUUUAUUUUUAAUAAAUAGAGCCUCAUUUUUAUGUUUUUAAUCAUCUCUCUUCUUCUCAAUUUCUCUUAAUCUCCUUGUAAUCUUGUUUUUUAGGUGUGUUUUUAAUAUUUUGCUUAAUUAUUUUUAUAAAUAAAUUUAGUUUUAUUUUCAAUUUUAGUUGUUUUUAUUAAUUUUAAUUAUGAGUAAUUUAAUUUUAAUAAUCACUUUUAUUUCAAUUAUGCUUAACUAAAUAAUAAUAAUUAGGGUAAAGUGAAACUCUUAGGAAAUAAAUAUGAUUUAAUCAAAUUCUAUUUUUAAUUUUGUAAAUUAAAUUAUUUUCUAUUUAAUUUUACCAUACCUUAUAUUAAGAUAUUAAGAAUUUAUUGUGUCAAGUUGUCUACAAUAAAUCACAAUUUCAAAAUAUAAAAUAUGUAUAAAAUUAAAUAGAAAGUAAUUUAAUUUAUAAAAUUAAAAAUAGAAUUUGAUUAAAUCAUAUUUAUUUCCUAAGAGUUUCAUCUUACCCUAACUAUUAUUAUUUAGUUAAGCAUAAUUGAAAUAAAAGUGAUUAUUAAAAUUAAAUUACUCAUAAUUAAAAUGAAUGAAAACAACUAAAAUUAAAAAUAAAACUAAAUUUAUUUAUAAAAAUAAUUAAAAAAAAUUUAAAAACACACCUCAAAAACAAAGAUUAUAAGGAGAUUGAGAGAAAUUGAGAAGAAGAGAAAUGUAGAGAGAUGAUUAAAAACAUAAAAAUGAGGCUCCAUUGAUAGAAAAAUAAAUUCAUAAUCUAGUGUUUUGUAGUCCAUCAUAAGCUUCAUACAUGCGCUCCUCAUAACCAUUAGAUCAAGAUCCUACGGCUGGUCAAACUUCAAAAGUCAACAUUACAUAUGGCAUCUUGUGAAGUGUCCGAUUUGGUCAAAGAACAGUUGAGAUUUGGCGGGUUAAUGGGUGGAUCGGGUCGACCCGAAUGCAAAGAUUCGGAUCUUACAACUUGCUUCACCAACCAUUGCCACGUGGCACAAUCGUGGCCAUUGAAUCAUGAACGAUUAAGAUUUAGUCAAAAUUGACAGCUAUCUCAUGCACUCACAUUUAUUGUAAGCUCGUUUUAUCAUAUAAUUAGUGUUUGGUCAACAAAAAAAGUCAAUUUUUUUUACACAAGCCUAAUUUUAAGCCGAUCUUGACUCAUCUUAAGGUUUUUGGACCUUCGGAAUCCAAAUUUGACAUCCGUUUAUCUGUUUGGAGUCUCAAAUUACGUGGAAUUAAUAUUUUACCUAAUAAACACACAAAAAUACACAAAAUUAGAUAUAUUUUAAACACAAUUAAUAGUCCCUAAUAUAUUGCAUACACACGAAUAUAAGUUAUAACAUAAGCACAAAAUAACAUUAUUAUUGCUUGAUAAUUAAACAAUUUUUAAUAUUAAUCACACUCCCAACCAACUUAUUACUAACCCCUAACAACUAAAGCGUUAUAUUAAAUUAAGAUUUACAAAAUUCACAUGCAAGUUAAUAGUUGUUCGUAGAGCUGGCAAAACGGGUCAUCGGGUCGUGUUCGUGUCGUGUCAAAUUUAGGUCGACCCAAACCCGACCCAUUUAAUAAUUGUGUCAAAAUAUUGAGACCCAAACCCGACACGGAAAAAUAAUCGAGUUACCCAAUAACUCGUUUAAUAUCUAUAUAUUGAACAAAAGUUACAUAAAAUAUUUACACACUAUCAUACAUACGUAUGUACAUAAAUACAUACAUACAUAAUUUAUCGAUAUUAUAAAAUAUAUAUAUCUACCAAUAUAUUACACAUUUACACUAUUGAGGUUUUAAUUAUAUAUAUAUAUAUAUAAUAUUAUAUAUCAAUAUUAUAAAAUAUACAUGUCUAUCAAUUUUUACACAUUUACACUAUUGAAGCUCUAAAUGUAUGUAAAAUUUUAUAAAUAAAACAUUGUGUUUAUAUUCACAAUUUUAAAGAAUAAAAAAAAAUAUCUCUAAUAUUUGAGUUUUAAUUAUAAGAAUAUGUAAAUUAUUUUAAAAUAGAAAAUAUAAUCGGGUCAUUGAUCGGGUAAAUGGGUCAAGAAUUUUAACCCAAACCCGACACGGAAAAAAAUCGUGUUGACCCGGACCCGACCCAUUUAAUAAUCGUGUUAAAUUUGACGACCCAUACCCAUUUAUUUAUGUCGUGUUCGUGUCGGGUAAUCAGGUCGUGUCAAAUUUUACCAGCUCUAGUUGUUCGUCUAUCCUCUAAACUAUCAAAUAAAUAAACUCUCCCAGAUUUCUUUACCUCUUUGUCGUUCACUCAUUAUUCAGAAUAUCAUCAAACCUUCUUUUGUGCUCAAAUAAUUAACACAAUACUUAUGGGGUUUCAUUAAAAGAGAAACAACAUUUUUGUUCCAAAAUUCAUUAGAAAUUCUAUCUUUAGACAGUAGAUUAUUCACACAUAUCUCAAAAUAUCAUAUUUUUAACCCAUGUAGCGAGCUUUAGGCCAGUGACUCCCAGAUCAAUUGGCCUUAGGACACUAGGUGUUGAAACACCCCUACAGACUUAAUUACUCGAGUUCUAGAUAUAAUAAAAUUAAACAAAAAUUCACGUAAUAAUGUAAUUAAAACCAAUACUCACGUACCCCUUCCUCCUAAAGUUCAAAAAAGGAAAAAAAAAUUCAAUACUACACCCAACACCGAGAAGUUUUUUAUUAUCAAUUAAAUCAUCCACUAAAUGUUAUAACAAAUUCCAAUAAGAGAUUUGGUUGAGUUCUUACAAAUUCAUUGACAUUUAUUUUUGAAUUUACAAAAAUACUCUUUAAACAUAAAUUACUAUUUUGAACUAACAGCUCGCCUGUCACAAGAUGAAGUAAAGUUAUGUUUUGAAUGUUUCUAUUUCAUUUCCUACAAAAUGAUUAUUUUUUCAGCGGCGUCGUUUUAGUACGGAGGAAACAUCAGUUUUCAUUUUUCGCGCCAACAUAUCGCGAAGCGUGAAUGUCAAAGUGGCAAGUGCCAAACAAGCAAGGACUCAUUCGUCAUUUGCACCUCUAAGGAUAAAACAGUAAUUCUAAAAACCACUGUAGCAUUUACCGUACUGUAGCAAUCACAAUUCACACACACGAAGUCCACACCGCCCAACAGUGGAAGCGUGUGAAUCACCAAAACAGAACAUAGGGAUGGCAAAAAUCCCCAUGGGAACGGAUAUUCUCGGAAAUUUUCUCUAUUUAGAGAGGAUAUAUAGAUAAUUUUAUACCCAAUUUCUUAUUUGGAGAAAAAAUAAAAAUUUUUUUUACCUAAUUUCUUAUUCGGGGAGAGGACGGGAAUAAGGUGGAAUCCUCAUUCCCUACCCAUUUCCCUAUUUUAAUUUUUAAUUUUUAAAAUUACUAGUAAAUAAAUAAUAAGAUUUGAAUUAUAAAAUUAUAAAAAUUGGUAAAAAUAACAAAUAUCAAAAUAUUUAUAUUAUUAAAUUUUUAGGUCUAAUUAACUAAUUAAAGUUCUAAAUUUUUAUUUAGGACAUUAAAAAGACCGGAUAGAUUCUAUUAGCUCAAAAAUUUUGUUUUAAUUUUAAAAUUCAUUAAAUAUUUUAAACUUAAAUCUAUUUUUUAUUUUUAGAUGUUAUAAUUAUCUACAGCGAAUCACAAUUUUAAUAUCUAAUCUAAUGUUUGCUCUUGAUUUGCUCCGACUUAACUAUUGUGAUGUAAAGGGAAUAGUCCACAUUUAUAAAGUACCCACGCCACCAUUGAAAAAGUUAAUUUUGAAUCUAAAUUUGAUUUUAUUUAUAACAAUUUUAUAUUAAACUAUUAAUUUGUUCAUGAUAAUUUGUAAAAGAAGUUUAUAUUCCUUGCAUGCUGCGUUACUUACUAAUUUAAUAUAUGUAACUUUUAUAAUGGAUAUUAAUGUAAGAUAUAUUUCAAACUUUAUUUUUAUUUAAAUUUUUUUAUUUUAAUAUAAUUAACUCAAAAUUUAAAAUUAAAAAAUAUAUUAAUUAUUCAGAGAUCAGGAACCCUCGAAAAUGUCAUGUUAUUAUUCAAAAAUUGAAUGAAGAUUCUUUCAAAUAAUUUUAACAAAAACAAAAAAAAGACAAAAAUAUACGUAAAAUAUCAUGAAUGGGUACGGAAAAUUAGUCCCCUCCCCUCCGCUCCCAGUUGACAUCCCUAACAGAACAUAACACAAAGGAAAAGUAAAACAAAACAUCUCGCGUUGUCCAUACUUCACUUAUUUUCUCGGAAAAUCUCGUGUCACCACGGAUUUUCUCGCGAAAAUCCAAACCAAAAAGCAUCCGUCUCACCAUCACCUGGAAAAUUCAGUUGUGCAAUUUACAUUUUGCCUGCAGGUCAGUCUAGUCCUGCUAUCGCAAAUCCCUUCUUCAAACUAAAUUGUUAAAAUAAACUCGUUAAUUUGUUGUAAUUAUCGAAUUAGGGUUUGAUUUAGGGUUCAUGUAGUUGUGUUAGUAAAUUUGCUUGCCAAUGCUGUUGAGUUUGUUUGAUUACUUUUGCUAAAAUUUGUGAGUUAGGGCAAUUAAUGGUUCUAGCCUUGACAUUGCUUUUAGGUUAUAUCUUUUCAAGUGAAUUUUUGAGUUUUGGUUUUUAGUGAUUAGUGAGGUCGUUUUUAUAUUGGACCAAAUUUAAGCUAUAAUAUAUGUCUAUUUUUUAUGUAUAAAUUUUUUAUGAUCAUGGAAAUGCAUGCUUUUGAGUUGUAAUUGAGUGAGCUUGCUUUAUUGAGUAACUUAUGCUGUUUUAAGGCUUAAAUUGUUAGGAAUUACACUGCUAUCAAUAAUUUAACAUCCUCAGUUAGUCCAUUAAACAAAGUGUCGAAGUGAUGCUUUGGGAUACUAUUUGUGUGCAUGUUGCAUCUUCUUAUUAUAUUGCAAAGAGGGAUUUCAUCGGAAAAUAGGAGUUGUAGAAAAAUGUCAAAAAGCUUUUUACUUAUUGUUAAUUUGGGUUUUGAAUUGAUGUGUGCUCAGAAAAUAAAAUUCUUUUAAUCGUUUUCUUGUUAAGUUUAUGUGGAUUUCUAAUUUCCUUUCAGCUAAAGUUAUGGCAAAUGAUACUCGAUCUGGUCGGAAAAUUAAGGACGAUGGAAAUAGUAUUUCAAAAGGGAGGCACACUGGUGGGAAUGGAGUGACUAGUUCGAGCACUGAAAGUCCAGAUACAUCUAAUCUAAGGAGGUCAUCAAGAGAAACAUCAUCAUCAAUGAAAAAUAUGAUUUCAGAAUCGUCAUCAUCAAAGAAAAAUACGACUUCAGAAACCCCACCAUUGAAGACGAAUGUGACUCCAAGUCCUUCAAGUAUCCGGAAGUCUGAGCGUAUUGAGAAGCGAACCUCGACAACUGCUCCAGUUAAGAGGAAAUCAGAGAGACUUGAGAAGCAGUCUGAGCCAAUCCCUUUGAGAAGGUCUGAAAGGGGUAAGGGGCCCUCCUCAUCAAGUUCUUCUGGUUCAAAGAAGUCUGAUAAAAGCUUGGUCUCAUCAGAACUGAAACAAAAGAAAGAGAAAAAGGAGAAAAGUGUGAAACAGUUGACUAUGGAAACCAAAGAGGUUAGCUGUGAAAGUAAGAAACAGGAUGCAGAUCGAGUCCAGGUGCAAAAAAGGAGAAUAAAUGCACAUUCUUAUAGGGCAUUGCUCAAGCGAAAUAAGAAAUAUAUAGCUAAAGGUAAUUGGUAGUCUAUAUCUUCUUCAAUCCCCAUAAAUGAUGCUUAUUGCUUUUAAAAUCACGCUAUUUCUUGGGAAAGCUAUACCAUAAACAUAAUGGAAGCUGCAUUAUUAUGAGUACUGAUAUUUUGUGGCUUUGAUUAGGAAAUGUGCCAUUCAUUUUUACAUUAAUGCAGUUUGUAGCUGUGGGAAUUUUAUCUGUUGCAAAAUUAUUUGUUGUACUCCUUUGAAGAAUCAUCUUAUACUUUAUUGCUCCACUCAUAGAUCAUAACAAGGAGCUGAACAAGAUAGAAAAGUCCUCUCAGGAAUACAGCAGCAAUUGUGAAGAUGGCAGCUCUGAGCAAGUCAAUGAGGUCAGAGGGACAAGCAGUGAUGCUGAACAGGCACAGGUGGAGUGCUCUACAGAAGAAAAUUUUCUGUCACCUGAGUCAUUAGAGUAUACAACGGAGAGUAGAACGCUUGAUGAUGAUAUUGGUUUGAAAAGGGGUCAAAAUGUUAUGCAUUUGAAAAGAAAAAGAAAUGAAGUUGACAUGGUUUCUGAUUCUUCUGCUGUGGUUGCAAGUAAAGAAACAUGUGUCUCUCAGGCUGAUGUCAACCCUUUAUCACCAGCAAGAAGUACUGGAAUAUGUGGUGAUAAGAAGCAAAGGUAUUGGAUCAUACAAUAUCUGUUUGGCUUCCGUUCUUUGGAGUUUAGAUCUGUAAAUGAUUUGAAGGUAAUCAAGUGAUGUUCUACUGCUUUCAUUAGCAAUGAAAAUAAAUAAUCACUAAGAAGCAUAGGUAUUGGAUCAUACAAUAUCUGUUUAGCUUCAUUUCUUUGGAGUCUAGUUCUGUAAAUGCUUUGUAGGUAAUUAAGUGAUGUUCUACUUCUUUAUUAACAAUGAAAAUAAAUAGUCACUGAUACUUAUAUAUUGUUAAAAAUUACAAAAUCUAAAGGGCUCCACAUUCUUACUAUCCUGUGCUGCUCUAAUCAUGUUUGCAGAGCAUGAUAUAUUCUAUUUCUGUAUUGGAAUUUGAAGAAGUUAAGUUUAUGUGUCUUCUCUGAUGGUUUAGUUCCAUCAUUAUUGCAUAGCUGAUUUGGAGCAUCAGUAUAUUGGUUUGAUAAAGUCAAUUUUUUUUUUUUUUGUGGGAUAAUGACAUAAAGUCAAAUAUUGGUAGGGGACAGCUCUAGAAAUGAAGUUAUAAUUUCGACCUAGAAGAACUUUAAUGAUGAAACAAGAUUAAUGUUGACUAAGGUAGUUGAGUUUAAGCUUCUGUCAUGAAUAAUUAAUUUUGACAGGGGAUAAUAAUGGAUUGGAGAUCUGAUAGUUUGUGUUGAAGGGUGGUUAGUGACUGGUAUUGGGGUAUGCAGUUGUAUAUUCUUGACUGUAAGGAAACUUAAAACUGUUUCCGGAGAUAUUAUAGAAUGUAUUUAUGCUUGAAGAAGUAGAAUUCUGAGGAUCAAUGGCUUGAAGAAACCUGCUUGUGGGUGAAUUAUGUGGGCAGUAAUAUGGUGAUUAAAAAAAUACAGGAAGAAGAGAAUGAUAUAUUUAAUAGUAGAAUAAUUUUUUAACCUUUAUUUGUCUUUGAGGAGCAGCAGGUCUUGAGAAUCUAGGGAAUGUCGUUGUUAACUUAGUCCAAAGUCAAAACGAUUUGUCAUUAAUGACUUUCUUACUAUUAUUAUAUUCACAAGCCUCGUUUAUUUAGGAUAUUUGACUCCUAUUUUUAAAGCUGGAGAUGUACUUGAAUUCUUGAAACUUCUAGUGGUUGUGGGGUAAGGCUUGUGUCAAUGAAAAUUGGCAAACUUAAUGAGCUAAUGGUUACCUAUUUUGUUAAUAAAAUCUACAUGUGACUAAAUGUAUUUUAGCCUGCCCUUCGAAUUAUCAGAGUUCUCUUUCUAAUAGAUUCAACCGAGUAGCUUAAAUCAUGGUCCACAAGAAUUAUUGCUUUAUCAUCUAGCAAUUACACGGGGACCCAUUCGUCGUGGCCCUUGGCGGUCUUUACAACAUUGUGCUUAAAGAGCAUGCUCAAAGGAUUUGGUCCCCUUCCAUAAAAUUUCGAGGGUCUUUACCACACUUUUUAAAGAGCAUGCUCGAAGGAUUUGGUCUCCUUCCAUAAAAUUUGCAUCUCUUUUGAUUUCCAAUUUUAUUCCUCUUUAUUAACUUUAUGCUAGCUUCCUUAAGAUGCAAACAGUAAAUUGUCUCAAAAUAAGGAAAUGUGGUUUUCACUUGGUGCUCAGUAAUGUUUCAUUUUGGUGUUCUUUAUUGGUUUAUUUGUGGCAUUGACAGGCAUCCUAGACUGUAAAUUAUAGUUGACUAUGAACCUUAUUUGUGAUGGUAGGUGUAUUUUGUUUUUAGGACUAUAUAUACUUUAUUUAUGAAUUAUUUGUCUUUUUGUAAGUUUGUAACACUCAGACUCAUGGAAGAGUGAUUUAUUUAUAUGACUUACAAGUAUUUUGCAGGGCUGACAUUGAUUCAACAAAGCAGGAAAUCUUGUUUUCUCUUCCAACAUCAAGAGAAAAAUUGGACGGGGAAUUAUGUGAUGCCUCUAUUGCUAAGGUUGGUGUGACUGUCUUUUUCUUUCUACUUACAAUGUUCUUAUGUUCAAUUAUCUCGUAUCUUAUUCUUCAGUUUGUUCUUACCUUUAGCAGACAACUGAGUACCAUAAUAUGCCGUCUCUGCAUGAAUCUCGUGGUGAUGUACACAGGAGAGAUGACUUAAUGGUAGAUGCUAAUGAUAAUCUUGGCAGUUUGAAAGAGAAGACGUCAAAAUAUGUUGCAUAUGGAGGCAAGUUAGACUCCUCUAGGUUUGUGGAGUAUUGGAUUCCUGUACAGAUAUCCAAUGUGCAGCUUGAGCAGUAUUGUGGUACUUUGCUUUCAAAAUCUUUGUCACUGUGCUCACCCUUAAAGAAUGAUCCUGUUGGGGUCCUCCAUGAUAUUCUUAUUUCCGCUCGAAAGGUUGGGUUUAUUCGAUUGUUUUGCAUUAAUUACAUGAUUACAUGAAAUUUAGAUGAUACUGCUUUUGAGUGUAGCUUUCAUUUGUGGCAGCUGCUGAAUAUUGAAUCUAAUUUAUUAAACAUUUGCUGGUGGUAUGAUCUUGAGUAGGCCUGGAUAUGGUCUGUGCGAAUUAUUUGAAUUUGAUCUUUGUCUUAUUACUACAUGUAUGGUUCAUAAUUUGCACCUUUUAUCGCACAUUCAACUUUAAUUCUCAUUUACUCAUAAAUCUUGAUAAAUAAUAUUAUUUACAGUUUUUAGGAUGAAUUUAGUUUGAGUUGCAACUUGGUCAAGAUAUUUAAAUGGUCUUAGCCUCUUUUAGGUUCAUAUGGGUUUGAAUUUGUUAAGAGUGUUGAUUACUUUAUGUGGUUAAUGAUCACUAGUGGAUAAUAUGAUCAAAUUUCUUCAUGUUGUGUCAUGCAUAUUUUCGUACUCUUUUCCAGUGCUGUGACCAUCCAUAUCUUGUGGAUAAAUCCUUGCAAAGUUUGCUUGUUAAAGACCUCGAGUUGGCUGAAUAUUUAGAUGUUGGAGUAAAAGCAAGUGGCAAGCUGCAACUUCUUGACACAAUGCUCUCAGAGUUGAAAAAUCAAGGUUCAAGAGUCAUUAUACUUUUCCAGGUACAUGCUUUCAGACUAUUAGUGCCUUAUUCGUGAACUUUUAUCGGAAUGUGUUUUCUAGAGCUUCAUGAAUUCUGCAUUAGUUGAAUCGAUGCUUUAUAAAAUUGCUGUGUCAAUAUUGAAUACUAUUUCUAUUUGCUUGGCAUGACUAUGCUUAGCAAUAAAACACGGACAAGGAAGAGUUCAUUACUAGAAUAUUAUUUGCCCGCUAUAGUAUGCAUCUGAUUUGAUAGGCUGCUUCCGAAAAUGGUUUAUUGGCCGUAUAACAAUUUAUUCUUAUGUGUUGCAUAUCAUCUAAAGAACCAAAAGGAUGCUACUCAUCCGACAUCAAACCAAUUGGUAGUUCUCACUUUUCUUCCCCAUAUCAUAGUGAGAAGGGAUACCAUUUAUAUAUAAGACAACCUUAUUUAACAUUUUGAUAACUAAUAUAAAUCAAAUUGGAUCAACUGACAAUGAAACUUUUCUACAUGAUUUAAAGCAUAUAAAAAGGAAAAAUUACUGGAAAAGCUUGUUGGCUCUAAUUAUGGACUAAUUUUUUUCUUUUUAAUCGGAAAUGUGAUACCAAUUAAAUUAAUAAUGUGACUGGUUAUAAAGAUUGUGAACCAGCAGUCCAUGUUGAAUGUCCCAAACUGUACAAAUGAAAAUAAGCAGUUAAAAAUCUUAUUGGAAACAUAGAAACUUAUAUUAAGAAGAAGACAUGUACAAAAAGUGAACAAGGAAUCCACAAAGAAAUGUAAUUAAAAGAAAUUCUUAAACUACAAUAUCUUCCAAUCUCUGAAUGAAGUAAAAGAAAUAUCUGCAAAUUGAUUUAAAAUUGAAGCUGUGAGGAAACAAAGAAAUGGAAAAUGUCCCACAGAAGAUCAGCCUGCUUCUUCAAAAAAUUUCACUCUCUCCAUCCAAAUUACUCAGUAAUAGCAAAUGGAUAUCUUUUCCGUACAAACAAAGCUUUUCCUUCCCCACCCUAAGCAUAUUGAUUCUCAGCAAAUAAUGCAACACAAGGACUUGGAAUAACCCAAGAAACUAAAGCCUUGCUGAAUGAUUUGAACCAUAAAGAUUAUGCAGUUUAACAACAACGAAGGAAUAAUUGGUUUAUACUUUCUGAAUUUUUCUUGCACAUACCACACCAUAAAGUGAGAAACAUGCCUAUGGUCAGUGCCUUUGAGCAGUAUCACAAGCGUUAACCCUUCCAAGAGAAAUGACCAGAAGGAAAAGUUGGGAGGGAUUUUGUUAUGCAGUACCAUGGAAGCUAGUUGGAAUUGAAGAAAAUGGUGUCCACCAGUAGUUAUAUAUCUAGGUUCAAUUUUGUUGCUUUGGAAAUUUCUUGUUGGAUUACACAUGCAUCGUUAAAUGGAUGUGAGGCUUGCAUAAUAAGACCAUAUUUAAUGUUUUUGUUAACAUUAACUCUUAAUAUGGGUGUUUGGUUUGAGAUUACUUUUAUGCUCUGGCACAGAUGUGAUCCUGCUUCUCUAAUGCAUUUAAGGGGGUGUAUUUGUAAUUUAGUACAGAGAAGUUUAGGAGAUUCUAAGAUUCCAGGAGCUGUUAUAGACUGAUAAUGACCUAUGUACUCUUGAUACUUUCCCUAAGUGUUUUCUUCACUUGGAGAUUUGGAAUGUUUUGAUAUUAUAGUAGUAUCAACUAUUUAUUAUUUUACUUAUGGGUCCCAAAUUUCAAGUUAUUAACAAAUAUCAAUAUUGUUAAAUAGUCAUCUAUAUUUUGAAUCAGUAGUUACAACUAUUCUGCGAAAUUGGGUACUAGUAAUUUCUUCCAGUGGGUAUUCUGCUAGUUUGAAAAAUUUGCAUUUCAAGAAAGCUUUCUAGUCUACAACCAAGGUAUGAUUGUUUGAGAACGACACUGGAGGUUGAUUGUUGAAGUUGGUGUAUUGGUUCAUUGAUGGCAUAAGGGUUUGAAGAAUUUGCUCUGUCCAUACUCUGUUUAUCUGCCUAUUUUCUUCUAAUUUAUUGGUCUUGAAGAACUUGCUUUUCUAUGUUUUAUUUAAAUAGAUUCUCAUCAUCAGAGCAAAAGUUUGCGAGAAUGAGAUUUUAGGCUAUUGUAUAUCACUUGGCCCAGGAGUGUCCCCAGAAGUUGUGGUUUCCCCAACAAUUGUGCGAUGCAUCAUCUUGGCAUUGUGCUACUUCUGGGGAUGGCAUAUUCCGAAGGGAAUUGACAGUGUGCAUGAUCAGUAGGUAUAUGGUAGUCGCUUAUAACACUUUUGAGCAUGCACCUUCUUAGGGUCAAUUGUAUACUCUAGUUUGGGACCUUAACUUGAUUGGUUGCAUUUGGAGAGAUUUUAACUGGCAGUUUAAAAAGAAAAAAAUAGAUAAAAGUAGAAGAAAGAAAUAAAUUGGUUUUAUCUUCGCUUUGAGAGUUUUAUUAAAAAUAAAUAAAUUGGUUUUAUCCAAUCAUUUGUAUUAGUCUUUGACUACCUGGUAAACAUUGACAAUUACGUAAAUUUUUUCACUGUCUUUAAUUCCAUUGCAAUUGCUUCACAAAUCUACGAGAGCACUUUGCCUGAAUAUGUCCCUCCUCUCGUAUCAAUUAGUCUUUUGUUUUGUUUUGUUUUGUACUGUUGUCUUUUUUUCUCUUUUUAUUUUUUACAGAGUACCCAAACUGCAUGGAUAGUCUCUCUAUCAGGCUACAUGUGCCUGUUUGCAUGUGUGUGUUUGCUCUUGCAUUGUGCAUUUUUCUUUAUUCAGUUGUUCUUGUUUUGACAUUCUUAGUUCUCUUGUUCUUAUUUCGACAUUAUGUUGACAGUCUAUUGGUGGUGGAUCUCUUGGAGAUAUAUUGGAUGACUUUGUACGUCAAAGAUUUGGUUCAGAUUCUUAUGAACGUGUGGAUGGGAAUGUUUUAGAUUCAAAAAAGAAAGCUGCUCUGCAGAAUUUUAAUAAUGGGAGCGGAAGAUUUGUGUUUCUAUUAGAAACCCGUGCUUGUCGUCCCAGCAUCAAACUGUCUUCGGUUCAUGCUGUUAUUAUAUUUCAUAGUGACUGGAGUCCGGUGAAUGACCUGCGAGCCCUGCAAAGGAUAACUCUUGAUCCACAGCUUGAACAGAUAAAAGUAUUUCGUUUAUAUUCAUUCUGUACUGUGGAAGAAAAAGUUCUGAUCCUGGCAAAGCAAGAUAAAACUCCUGAUGGCUAUGCACAGAACAUGAGGCCAAGUACUAGUCAUGUGCUGCUUAUGUGGGGAGCCUCCUACUUAUUCAAUAGAUUGGAUGAAUUUCAUAGUGGCAAAAUUCCAGCCUCUAGUUCAAGCAACUUUUUUGAGCAAUCACUUCUAAACGAUGUGGUGCAGGAGUUCUCAACCAUACUUACCCAAAAUGGUGAAGAUAAUGAUACAAGAAAAUUCAAUAUAAUUUUGAAAGUCAAACAAAGUCAGGGAACUUACAGUACUUCUUUUCCUUUGUUUGGUGAGUCAAAAGUUGAAGGGAUGGACGAAGAGCGGCCGCAUAUAUUUUGGACAAAUUUGUUGGAGGGAAAACAUCCAUGCUGGAAAUAUUAUUCUGGUUCAUCUCAAGGAAGCCGGAAAAGGGUUCAAUAUUUUGAUGAUUUACAGAAGAAACCAGAGUUAGAGAUUGAUGAAGUUGCAAAGAAGCAGAGGAGAGUGGCUAGCAAUUGUGUUAAUCAGUCCUCUCUCAAACCUGGACUAGAAGAAGGAAAGACUGUUUCGAGGGAUAAGGAAGGUAAAUGCACAAUACCACCUCCGUUUCAUCUUAUGAGAACACCAGCACAAACCGUCCCCAACAACAUCCCCAUCCCCAUCCCCCCCACCCCAACCCCCUUCUCUCAUUCUAUUGAAUCUCUUGUUUUCUUGAAUCUCUGAAAAAUAUUCUCUUAUAUCUUCAGGAACUUCUGUGGAUAGUAGCACAAUUCACUGGACGUGUGCUUCUUCCUCAACGUUGGUCAAUAAUUUCCCGGAAACUUCCAGAGAAUUGAGUUAUUCGCAGAAGAGUCUUCAUCUUCUUUUGAAGCCAGAGAUGGCAAAACUUUGUGAAGUUCUAAAACUCAGAGUAUGCAUCCUGUCGCCAUUUUAAUGAAAUUAAUUUUUGGAUCUGUCUUUUCCAAAAUCUGAUGCUUCUUUUCCACUUUUCUCUUUAUUUUCUUUGUUAAUCUCUUUCGUCAAGAUCUUGCUUCCCAGGGAUAGGUUUGAUGUGUUAUUUUCUUUGCAGGAGGAUGUUAAGGAUACGGUUGGGAAGUUUCUUGAAUAUCUGAUGAUCAAUCAUCGUGUUGAUAGAGAGCCCCCUUCAAUGUUGCAGGCUUUUGAGAUAUCUCUGGUGUGAAACUUAUUCCUUUCAGCAUGUCCCACUUUUUCUUUGUCGUCUUGUGUCUGAUGGUACUUCUGCAUAAAUUAUAAAUAGUUGGCUAUUACUUGUGUUUGGAUGAAGAAUUAAAUCAUGCUUAGAUGUAUGACUUUUCGUCCUAUUCAAAUGGAAAUUGUUUCUUUAGUAUGCUUUUUCAGAAGUGGGACAAUUGUCUUUAUAAUCCCGGCCUAACAUUGUCUUAUAGUUUCUGUGGACUUCCAUCCAUUUUAAAAGGGAAUAGAUAUUCUCCAUUUUACUGCAUCAUGCUUAUUCUGUGGAUGGAAUUUUUAACACUCCCCUUAAGCUGAACCAUAAAUGUCAUUUGAUUUAGCUUGUCAUAUAGAUAAUAAGCAAAUGUUGUUCAGGCCUCUUACUGGGUUGGGCUAUGCCAAAAGCGAGUGAAACCCCAUCACUGCUCUUUUUAAGCCCCUAUGUCAGCACAAGUGGUCUCUUUUUACAGUGUAGGUCACUCAACAAAUUUUUAUCAAGCUUUUUCUGCUUAGAUUAAGUUUAAUUUCCUAAUAUUUAGUCUUGAGGAAAGUUGGAUUACUUGCUAUGCAUUUAGGAGAAAAUGGGUAGAGAUUUGGUGAAUCCAAUAUAUUUUUCACAAGCUUGAGAUUCUGGUUGUUGAUCUCGUGGACUUGGACGAGGAAGAAACCUUUUAUUAAUUCUUGACAAACAUUGCCUCUUGGAUACGUGCCAUGUGCAUCAAGUUCUGUCAGUUUUUUGUUCAUGGGGAGUGAGAAAUGGAGUUAUAUAGUAAAUGAGAACCUGAUUGCACCCAAAAGUUCACCAUAAUGUAGGAUCGUCACCUGGAAAAAUACUUGCAGGUCCUCGUUAUAUAUUUAUUAUGCCCAGAUUUUAAGUGCUGAUCUUGAAUCCAGCAAGUCAUUUCUCGCUCCUCUCUGUUUACACCAUUUUCUUGUCAUUUGCUAGCUUUUGUAUGCACAUGUGGACAAUGGGUUCUCGGCAUCUCUGAUUAAGCAUAUUGAUCUUGUCUGAACAUUUUAUUUAUGCAUAUUACUCAUGUGGCAUGUCUAAUAGCAUGCUUUAUUGCUGUGUGGUACAAAUUUCAGUGUUGGACUGCAGCUUCUUUGCGGAAACAGAAAAUUGAUCAUAAAGAGUCACUUGAGCUUGCAAAGAAGCAUUUGCAUUUUAGCUGCAAGAAAGGAGAGGCAGAUUAUGUUUAUUCUUUGUUACAAUGUCUGAAGGAAGUGUUUGAAUUGUCCAUGAAAGAUGUUAGCAAGUAUCAGUCAAAUGCUAGACUGUCUCAGUCAGAAAUAGUUUCUCAUCGACAGGAACUUUUCAAGGUGGCCCAGAAAGAUUUUUCAAGAAGUAUUAGAGGAAUCCAGAAGAAAUGUCAAAAGCAGAUGGCGAAACUUCGCCAUAAGCAGCUGGAAGAGAAAAAAGACAUUGAUAAAAGGUAUGAGGAACAAAAGGCACAACUGGAGACUAAGAAAAGAACGGAGGCAGCUGUUAUUCGUUAUCAUUGUAAUGGUAAAAUGCAAAUGGAUAAGCUAAAGGUAUUGGAAAAUGAAUAUGCAGAGAAAUUUAAAGAACUUGAACGUGACAGAGAUGUGCGACUUGAAAAUCUUGAGGCACUGCAUGUGGCUUCCAUGAAGAAGCUGAGUGACAAACAGACUAGUUGGGUGGAACAAGUGAAAUCCUGGUUACAAAUUCAGUUAUCAAAUAAGCCAUCAUCCAAUGAAUAUGGACAUAGUGUGGAAUGCUUGCAGGCUGUUGAACAACAUAAUGCUCAUGAGAAUCAGGAGAAUAAUGCCUCUAAUUCUAUUCACAUUUCUGCAGGGCAGAAUCACGACAAACUUAUUAACAUUAUUACACCGGUCAGCGGGGAGGGACGGUUGGAGUCACCUGUAAUUCAAGAAACUGUAGCUGGUCCACUUAGGCUCAAUAACGGAGGUGAUAAAUUGGAUACCAUAGCUUCUGCAGAAACAUCAAUUGCUGGAUUAAAGGAACGUAUAGAAGAUAGCAAUUCAGGUGACAAUCAAGAAAACAAUGAGCCUUUGAAUCCUUGUUCCAGAGAACAGAUUCUUGAUGGAGCCACGUUAAGCAUGCCAGAUGGACAUAUUCAAUUGGGAGUUACUGAAACUAUUAGUUCUAGUGAUGGUGCUGGGAAUUGCCUUCUGCCUGUGCAUUCUUCUGGUGGAAAAAUUUGUGAUGAGGCUAGAUUGAGUCCAGAGGCGCAGGUUCCUGGGGAAGUAGCCGAGACAGUAAGUUCCAAUGAUGAUCUUGAGAAUGUUGUUCCUGUGAAUGCACCAAUAUCUAAAGACCAAAUUCCUGAUGGAGCCACAACAAGCAUGCCUGAUGGAGAGGUUUUAUUGAGGGUCCCUGAGGCUGCUAGUUCCAGUAACUGUACAGAGAAUUUUAUGGAUUCUCCUCCAGGGGAAGAACAGAUUGCUACCGUAGCCAUAUCAGUCGUGCCUAAUGAAGAAACUCCUUUGAGAGUGCCUAAGAAUGUCAAUUCCAGUCAUGGUCUAGAAAAUGCCAUCUCUCUCAAUCCUUUAUCUAAAGAACAAAUUCCUGAUGGAGCCACAUCAUGUAUUCCUAGUGCAGAGGUUCUAUUGAAGGUUCCUGAAAGUUCUCCUGGUGAAAUAGUGGAGAGUGGUAAUAUUAAUGGAGAUAAAAAUGAAGCAUUUGCUACGACCUCUGAAAAUUUCAAUCAUAAUUUGCCUCUGCAUGAACGGUCUCUCGCAAACCCACUUCCAGUUCUGACUCAUACUAUCAUUGAGGAAAGUCCAGUGCCAUCAAAUCAGGUAUAGUACUCACAUAUUAUAUCUAUACUCCACAGGAUUAACCAACAUACUAUAUCUAUAGGGAUUAUUGUUGGUUAUUGUAAGUAGCUGCUGGGGACAUUUUCUGGGCUAUAUUGUUUAUGUUCUUUUUUCUAGUAUGAGGAACUAGGCUUUUGGUUAUUUUGAAUGUCCAAAAGAAUUGUUCAAAAACUUGUUUUGGGGCAUCUAUAUAACAAAAUUGUUGAUUUGAUGCCUUCUACAUUUUUAAGGUUGUCUCUUCAUUUGUUGAGGUACUGUUUCGCUCUUCUUCUUUUUUUUCCCAGCUGAGAUAGUCUUAAAUGAGCAGCAAUGUUCGUCUAUGCAGUAUUUUUAAUUUAACAAUUCCUCUCCUGGGCAGGCUCUCCAAGACGUAUGUUCUGAACCCACCGCAUCAACUGGAGUGCAAGAUGGAGAUGCAACAGCUAAUGAUAUACAGAUUGCUUUGCAAGUUGAUCCUCCUCUAUCUAAUCCUGUUGAUGCUGUAGCAUCAGAUGAUUCUAGUCACAGAGCAGCAGGCACAGGACAUCAGCCAAGCAGUGAAAAUUGUUUCACCAAUCAAUUUCCUCAGUUAGAAAACCGAGUUCAGAUCUCUAAUCAAGCUCUUUCAAAGCAGCUUGUAACAAGUUCUGCAGUCAAUCCUUCCACUGAUGUGCAGGCUCUCCAAGGUGUAUGUUUUGAACCCAUAGCAUCAACUGGAGUGCAAGAUGGAGAAGCAACAGCUAGUGAAAUACAGACUGCUUUGCAGGUUGAACCUCCUCUACCUCACCCGGUUGAUGUUGCAGCAUCAAGUCAAUCUAUUCACGGAGCAGUAGGCAUAGAACCUGUAGUUAGUGGGACCAGGGAAGUCAGUGGAGUAGGACAUCAGCCAGGCAUUCAAAACUGUUUCGUGAAUCAGUUUGCUCCAUCUCCAAUAGCAUUGGUAGAAAGCCAAGUUGAGCACUCUAAUCAAGCUCUUUCGGAGAUUUUUACAAGUUCUGCACUCAAUCCUGCCACUGAUGCUUCUGCUGAUGGGUUGAGAGCAAAUUUUGUGGACACCGGGACAGCGGCAAUGAUUUCUGGCUACAAUAAUCGUGCAGUACAAAAUUCAGCCCCAGUGGCAUCUCGGUUGCCCCCUCACAUGAUUUCGGACCCUCUACAGAAUGAAUUAGAAAGAUUACGCAAAUCUGCGGAUGAAGCCAUUAGGAGCCAUGAAGAAAAUGUUAGUUUACUCUUUACUUAAUUGCUUCUUCGGUAAAAAAUGUAGGGCCUUGUUUGUGCUUCUGUUAAUGGUUGUCUUGUCUUUUGAACAGAAGCUUAAGCUGAGAUCUGAUUGUGACCGGGAGAUUGAGCAAGUUCGUAGGAAGUAUGAGAUAAAGCUUCAGGAGAUGGAGUCGGAAUUUAUGCUCAGAAAACAGGAGCUGGAUGCAAAUGAAAGUAAAGUUCUGAUGAAUAAGAUUGUGGCAGCCGCUUUUAGGUCUAAGUGGAUGGAUAUGAAAGAUAUGAAAGCAUCCAGUGCAGGGAUGCAACAAGGUAUGCAACUCAUUUCAUUGCCAUUAUUUUUGUCAUGAAAAUAUAAAGAUUUUAGAUAGAACUUCUGAAAUAUCUACUUACAGACAGUCUCUCUUUGAAUAUGGGGUAUUGUAUCUUGGAGUGAAACUCAGCCUACUAAUGUUGAUAAUUGGGUUUAUUUUUGGGCAAAACAAAGUUGACACAGUACCAAAAGGCAAGGCAAAACUCAUUUGUAUGGGCUGCUAGCCAGAAUAGAUGGCCAUCCCUCACUAGACUGCAAUUGUUAACUUUUUGUACGUUUCCUGAUUUUGUGUGAAGUAAAUAUGCAUGAUAUGACUAAUGGGCCUUUGGUCCAAUGGGAGAAACCUUGCACUUACAAUGUUGAGUGCAAGGGUUCAAGUCUCCAUAAGAGUUUUAUAGAGGUUAGUUUCAGUACUCCCUCAGUUAUCAGCUAAUUGAGUGGAGACAGUCUCUCCCUUAUGAAAUGUGAGUGGAGUAGGUUUAAAGUAUCUGGACAAGUGUUUCAAGUGGGUCAAUGUAUGGCGGUAGUCCCAGUUAUAUAAUAUGAUUGUAAAAAUUAGUUGUAAUGUUUGAUGAAAUAUCAGUAACAAUCUGUGUAUACCAGAAUUCAAAAAAAAAAAAAAAAAUGCAUGAUAUGGUGAUCUAUUCAAAUAUGCAUGUAAUGGAUGCAUGUUUACCAACCCAGUGGAUGUGUCUGGAGUUCACCUGCAUGGUUUUUUUGAAUGGCUUUCAUCACCAGUAAGCUCUAUGCAUUACUUUCUUGGCAGAGGUUUCUUCUAGCACCAUUCAUCAGCAGCUGGCAUACAUGCUAUCAUGGCAAACUAUGCAAAGACCUCCUGUUUUGGCAGGUUCAUCUGGCCCACCUGCCACUUCUGUGCAGACUACUUCCGCUCCUGCAGCCAUAUCGAUUACAUCUCCUGCAGCCAUAUCGAUUACAUCUCCUGCAGCAAGUCAACAUACUGCAGUUCCCCAUGCCUCGGCACUUUUCCCAGGCAUUCCUUCAAGACCACCCCAUGUUAGCUCCAGAGUCUCUCCUACGAUAAAUCACCAAGUCAGCAGAGGAAUUCGUGCUCCUGCUCCACAUUUACAACCAUUUAGACCAUCAACAUCCCUUGCUUCAACCAGUCUUCCUUCUUCUGUUUUGCCAACUCUACCCAGUAAUGCCCGUCCAACCUCUAUCCCACUUCUCCAGCGUCCUCUUCUAUCACCAUUGGCUACAUGCAAUACUAGUCUUUACAACAGGGCACCGGGGCCUGAAACUUCUGGAGUAGUGCCAUCUGUUCCCAACCCUUCUCUGUCAGCCAUGGAUUUGCUUAUGGAUUUUGUUGACAAUAGAAGUGGGGCAAGUCAAAUUCUGCCCAGCAGUUUGCCCUCAGUAUCAGAAUUCAGUUCAUCAAGUGUUCCAAUUGUCCGACCUGAAUCUAACAUGCAGAGUUCGCAGACUAACCCCGGGCAGAUGAGUGAACCUGUAGACAUUGUUUGUUUGUCAGAUGAUGACUGACCAUUUGUAAGCUACACAUUUUGCAUUCGUUUAACUUAGCUCCACGACGAAGAACUUUGACCGACCGUUAGUAAGCUAUACAUUUUGCGUUUGCUAGCUUAGCUUCACCACCAUGAAGAACUUUGAGCUCAGCAUUCUUCAGAGGGUUUUCAAGAUGGCCUGGGGGUUUGAAACUGUAUUGUCCGGUCUUUUCUGCUAGAGAAUUUUGUUGCUGUAUAUACCUGGAUACUUUAAUUUUUAUUAUAAGUAAAAAGGGAAAAAAAAAAGUUUUCAAUUACCAUUAUUUUCAUCAUUUGAUUGAAUCUUUCGAGUAUGUUUAAUUUGAGUUGAGAAUAUAUUUACCCCUAAUAAAUUAUUUUAUAAAAAGGAGACGGCCAAAGAAAUGUAACCGAGAAGUGGCUUAAUUUUGCGAUUGAUUAUCAAAGGCCCAUCUUAUUAUUGAGUUGCAACUGUACAUAAAUUUCACCAAAAUUACAGACUUUAAGAAGGGGGAAAAAUAGAAUUAAGAACACAAAGUAAAAGCAUAGAGACAGUAUCAUCCUCACAGUAGAAGAAUUAUAUUUGUUAACCUUCCAAGUGACAUUAAAAUAUAUAUAUAUAUAAAAAGGCAUAAAAGAAAGCAUUAACAAAUUGGAAGAGGACUCCCAUCCCAUUCUUUAAGACAUUCAAGCAGUGGAUCAAUUAUUUUUCCCUGACAAAUCGCUGUAAACACCUUAUCACAUUCCUCGCCUGGUGAUAUCGCCUUCUCUCCUGUCAGAUACCGAGCCCCCAACUCUUCCCUUACAAACCUAUACAAUGGGUAGGACCUGCACUCCUUAAUCCUGUUUGGUAUUUCCAAAUUACCACUCUCAAAAGCACUUCUAGCACUCUCAACUUCUUUCGGCAAAAGGGUCUUCAACUCCUCCUCGAAAGCACCUAUCUUUAAGAAGAUUGAAGCAUUUGCAUUCUUCAAAUCUUCAUUGUUUGUCAAUGCAUGAUCAACAAGGACUUGUCUCAGUUUCUGCAUCAACGGGUAAGUUGCGCUGCAGGGAUCAUCAGCGUAUGAAAAAACGUACUCGCGAUCAACUACUUUCAGCAAAUCUUUCUCGCAGAAUCUUGAAGGAUGGAGCUCCCCAUUGACCCCCAUCGUCAGGACUUUCUUAGCUACUUGGCUGAUUGUGCUCUUAACUGUGCUCUUCAGAUUCUCCUCCAAGUGCCUCAAGUCUAUAGCUUGGCAGAGUGCAAUCAAGUAAGUUGAGGACAUGAGCUUCAAGAUAUCAACAGCUUCAGCUGUUUUUCUGGCAGAGAUCAGCCCUAAAGAGUUCACAUCUUGGUUGUGUUGCUCAGCACUUUGGACGUGAUUAGUCACAGGAUUGGCUAGAAACUGGAGCUCGGAACAAUACGCAGCCAUUGCUAUUUCGGCACCUUUGAACCCAUAAUCCAAGCAUGGAUUCCUACCACCAGACAGAUUUGAAGGCAACCCAUUACUGUAAAAAUCAUUAACCAGCUCAGAAAAUUGAGCAAACAUGAGUUUCCCAAUCGAAGCAAUUGCCAAUCUUGAAUUAUCCAUAGAGACACCAAUUGGAGUGCCCUGGAAAUUGCCACCGUGUAAUGCCUUGUUCCUUGAAACAUCAAUCAACGGAUUAUCAUUCACAGAGUUAAUCUCCCUCUCAAUAGACUUUGUCGAUGCUCGAAUCACUUCAGCUUGAGGGCCUAACCAUUGUGGUGAAGUUCGAAGAGCAUACCGAUCUUGCUUAGGCUUCUGUAAAGGGUCAAUUUCAUGCAAUUUUUGUGCUGCCUUAACAUAAGAGCUACCAUCCAAGAUAUGUUCCAUUAUAGCUGCAGCUUCAAUUUGUCCAGGGUGAUGCUUCAGCUUGUGAGUCAAAUGAUCCGUAAACUCAGGCUUUCCGUGCAUAGCUUCCGCAAAAAUUGCUGACAAAACUUCGGACAAAACAGUUAAAAUAUUAGCCUCAAAAAGAACAAUAGAAGCCAAGCCAGCACCCACUCCUGUUCCGUUAACUAACGCAAGUCCCUCUUUAGGCUGCAACUCGAAGAAACCUCCAUCAAUUCCAGCCUGGCUAAAAGCCUCAGCAGCAUUCAACGACUCCCCAUUUGGCCCAACAGCUACAGAAUUCGGACGGCCGGUUAGCAGCCCGGCGAUGUACGAAAAGGGGACUAAAUCUCCGGAGGCAGUGAUGGAGGCACGCAGAGGCAAGCAUGGAGUAAUGUUGCGAUUGAGAAACUUUGUUAUAGCUUCAAGAAUCUCAAAUCUAAUGCCUGAGUAGCCCUGGAGAAGUGUAUUGAUCCUCACCAGCAUUGCAGCUCUUGUUGCUGUGUGGGGCAACAUGUGACAGGAUUCUGUCCCUUUGCCAAAGAUCCCAGCAUUCAAAAACCUGUCGUGACAGGACACAAGAAUAUUUAUUGUGGUCUCACAUAGCUUGCUUGAUCGCGACUAAUUAUUUGCAUCAUGACAAAAUGUGCACAAAACAAGAUCAUCAAUUUUGCUGCUACCACAUAACUUCAGCACAUGUUGUAUGUCUGAACAUACAAAACGACAAUAAAAGUUUGCCGGCCGUCGUCCGGGAAACUGUACAAGUUUGUGAAGGACAGAAAAAGGGGCCAUACUGAUAAUUGAUAAAUAAAUUUUAUUUUUGUGGGACGUCUUACUCUUAGCACAAAACUGAGAGAAUAUCGUGCUACCAAAUGAGAAUGAGACACAUCUGGAAUUAUAUCUCGAUAGUGAAAUUUUUUAAUUUUUGAGCACCCAUAUGCUGAAGGAGAAAAUAACAUUUUGACAACAUGCAUAAUGUAAUAAGACGGUCAAUCUAAAUUUUUCUAAUAAGACACAUGAUGCAUGUAGCCACGUUAACGACUUUUCGUGGAGAAAAUAUUUAGAAUUUUGUUUUGUUUUUCUAUUAACUGAGCAAUUUCCCAUCCCUUCUCUAAUAUCAAUUUCUACCUUAAAAAAAAAUUGAAUAAAUAUAUAAAUGAAUAGAUCAUGAAUCGAGGGACCAAAAACUAGAAGUUCCUACUAAAUUUUAAGCACAUCUAUGUAUCAAUAUUCAUUUAUUAUUCACAUGACAUAAUUAUAUAUGUCAGUAACUUUUGUUUAAAAAAAAAAACAAUACACUAAGAUAAUUUGUAAUAAAAUAUAUUUUAAAAAAAAAACUUUCCAUGGUUCAUUUGGAACUUCUUUCUUUCAUUUGUGAAAGGUCUUUCCACAUAGCACAAUUAUUUCUUAUUACGGUAAAAUUAUGUUGCAACCAGUCAUUGGAUCUAUAGUUGUAUAGUUAUAUUAACAAGAUCCAAUAACUGAAAACAACAAUAGUACCGUACCACUGUUCCAACAUAGUUAGACCCUUCUUAUUAUCAUAUUAUUUUGUUUUGAACCAUUUAAUUAAUUUUGUGGGACCCAAAUCAAGAUAAAAACAAACUUCAAACAAAAAACAUAUAAACAAAUGAGAGUGACAGAAGAGAAUAGCUCCAAUGCUCCAUGAAUUUAUAUAAGCUACGGACAUGUCACACAUCAUCACAUACUAAUCCUCAAUCUACAGUUAAAAAAACAAAAAAGAAAACUCAAUAAGGGUAGGCCUGAAACUCAGUAAAAUAAUCAUAAACUUAAUUACUUAAUUAUCAUUUGAUAUUCACUAAUCUUCCUCAAUUAAGUAUAUAAUACUUAAAAAGGCUUUUAAAAUUUUACCUAAUGAGCUCCUUUUGCAAGGCAGCUCCCUGUUUGGUCCUCCUAUGAGAAGUUGCACCAAAACCAGUCGUGACACCAUAGCUAUCUGUCCCGUUGUUCAUGCUCUCCAUAACCCAAUCACUGCUAGCCUUGACGCCAGCCCUAGCCUCCUCGUUAAGCUCCACCGUGACCCCGUCAUCACGGCUAGCCACCGCCGCCACCUGAGCUAUCGUCAGGGUCUCGCCGCCUAGCCUCACCACCGGCUUCCGGUACUCGCUAACCAUCCUCUUCACUUCAUCCAAAUGGCUCCCCUUCAACGACUCCGAAGCUGAUACCCAAUUCAAUGGAUCAAUGUUAGUGCACAAUUUUCCCGAGGGAAUAUUGCCUCCACUUUGAUUCUCAUGCGAUGCCUCCAUAGUUUAGAUGUUACCAAGGAAUGAAUAUUUCCUUUAACGGGUCCAAAACGAUAUGUGUAGCGACCAAAAAAGAUAAUUAUUUCAAAAGCCUUGAAACAAUAAAGAGAGAGCGCACAGAAACCAAACGGACAUUUGUAAGUUCCGCAGCUGUUUGGUUUCUAGGAAAGAAAAGGGGAAUUUUUUUUUUGUAAGCUAAGCUAAGCGAAUAAAAAUAAAAUCAUGGGGGUUGGUUCACCAGCUUAAGAAAUAUUUGUUUAAAUAGAAGAGAAAGGUUGAGGGGGUACGUAUAUCAGAAAGUGUUGGGUGGGAAGCUAGAGGUGUUAGUUGGAAUAGAACGGUGGCCGUUGGAUCUUCAUGGAUAUCCUACGGAUGUGAUGAUGACACGUCGAUGUUGGAGGAGGAUGGAGGUUGUUGGGGUGUCUGGUGCACGCUCACAGGCUGGUUAAUGUCUGUCUAUCUAUGUCGUUUCAUCAUUUUCUGGGGCCAGAAUUUUGUGGAAAAUUACUUUAUACUCCCCGGAAUAGCCCUGUAAUAACUUUAUGGCCCACAGAUUUUAAUUUUUCUGACAUUUUGUUAAUUCAAUAAAUUUUGCUGACAUUUAUUCAAUUUUAAUAAAUUUCUGUUAUGGAAAUUUUCAGUGGAGCACAAGUUGUCACAUUAAAAUGCUAAACAAGUUCAAAUAAUUGUGUUCUUCCAAUGGAAUCUAGCCUAUUAUUUCAGAUUGAGUCAUUAUAUAUGAUAAGUGCAUUUUUUUUUUAUAUUUUACUAUUAAUUUCUUUAAUUUUUUCUUAUUUUGGUCUUAAAU